UACGAAGGGGGCUAGCGUUGCUCGGAAUUACUGGGCGUAAAGCGCGCGUAGGCGGGUCUUUAAGUCAGGGGUGAAAUCCUGGAGCUCAACUCCAGAACUGCCUUUGAUACUGAGGACCUUGAGUUCGGGAGAGGUGAGUGGAACUGCGAGUGUAGAGGUGAAAUUCGUAGAUAUUCGCAAGAACACCAGUGGCGAAGGCGGCUCACUGGCCCGGUACUGACGCUGAGGUGCGAAAGCGUGGGGAGCAAACAGG
rnacentral:rRNA from 1 species